UGGGGAAUAUUGCACAAUGGGCGCAAGCCUGAUGCAGCCAUGCCGCGUGUAUGAAGAAGGCCUUCGGGUUGUAAAGUACCUUCAGCGAGGAGGAAGGCGGUAAGGUUAAUAACCUUAUCGAUUGACGUUACUCGCAGAAGAAGCACCGGCUAACUCCGUGCCAGCAGCCGCGGUAAUACGGAGGGUGCAAGCGUUAAUCGGAAUUACUGGGCGUAAAGCGCACGCAGGCGGGCUGUCAAGUCGGAUGUGAAAUCCCCGGGCUCAACCUGGGAACUGCAUUCGAAACUGGCAGGCUAGAGUCUUGUAGAGGGGGGUAGAAUUCCAGGUGUAGCGGUGAAAUGCGUAGAGAUCUGGAGGAAUACCGGUGGCGAAGGCGGCCCCCUGGACAAAGACUGACGCUCAGGUGCGAAAGCGUGGGGAGCAAACA
rnacentral:rRNA from 1 species